rnacentral:rRNA from 1 species
CGGGGUGGAGUAAUGUCUGGGAAACUGCCUGAUGAGGGGGAUAACUGCUGGAAACGGUAGCUAAUACCGCAUAACGUCGCAAGACCAAAGAGGGGGACCUUCGGGCCUCUUGCCAUCGGAUGUGCCCAGAUGGGAUUAGCUAGUAGGUGGGGUAACGGCUCACCUAGGCGACGAUCCCUAGCUGGUCUGAGAGGAUGGCCAGCCACACUGGAACUGAGACACGGUCCAG